GAGAGAAUGGCUGAUAAAAGUGAUGUACUGUAAAUACAUAAAUGAAUUUUUCUUCUCUCU
rnacentral:tRNA from 1 species